GGAAUUACUGGGCGUAAAGCGCACGUAGGCGGAUUAGUAAGUUAGAGGUGAAAUCCCAGGGCUCAACCCUGGAACUGCCUUUAAUCUUGCUAGUCUGGAGUUCGAGAGAGGUAAGUGGAAUUCCGAGUGUAGAGGUGAAAUUCGUAGAUAUUCGGAGGAACACCAGUGGCGAAGGCGGCUUACUGGCUCGAUACUGACGCUGAGGUGCGAAAGUGUGGGGAGCAAACAGGAUUAGAUACCCUGGUAGUCCACACCGUAAACGAUGAAUGCCAGACGUCAGCAAGUAUACUUGUUGGUGUCACACCUAACGGAUUAAGCAUUCCGCCUGGGGAGUACGGUCGCAAGAUUAAAACUCAAAGGAAUUGACGGGGGCCCGCACAAGCGGUGGAGCAUGUGGUUUAAUUCGAAG
rnacentral:rRNA from 1 species